rnacentral:rRNA from 1 species
UACAGAGGGGGCAAGCGUUGUUCGGAAUUACUGGGCGUAAAGGGCGCGUAGGCGGGCUGUCAAGUCUGGGGUGAAAUGCCGCGGCUCAACCGUGGAACUGCCUCAGAUACUGACGGCCUCGAGGAAGGUAGGGGCAUGCGGAACUGUAGGUGGAGCGGUGAAAUGCGUUGAUAUCUACAGGAACUCCGGUGGCGAAAGCGGCGUGCUGGACCUUUUCUGACGCUGAGGCGCGAAAGCUAGGGGAGCAAACGGG